UUGUCCUAUAUCAUGUACAAUGAUCUACAGUCAUGAAAUCAAUCAAUCAAUCAAUCAUCUUUUACAUGCACAGUAAGGUUAGAAAACUGGCCUGUGAAGAUCAUGUUUGUUCAACAAGAUUUUUUUUAUAUCUCAGUUAUUUCUUCCAAAAGCUGACUAUUCUCAAUCACAGUCAAACAGUUCAGAAUCAAAACAUCCUUCAUUCUUGAUUCUUCAACAAAAAUAAAAUUAUGAAGUAGAUUACUGCCACUCGGAUUCAAAUCUGGGUUAAAAAUGGACAUAUUUGAUGUUUCUCAGUCCCACUGAUUUCACACAUAUCACUUCUUAACUCUAGAGUCUCAUACAUUAAAGAGAUGACAUAUCUGUGACAUUUCACACAUUCCGCGAAAGCAAAGCAGAUGUCUAUUUCAGAACCUACCACAAACAUCAAAACUCCAUACAACCUGAUUCUGGUACAAUUCCUUAAAUACAUUAUAGCAUGGUGUGUAAUUAAAACCACAUGAAUUUUGGCAUUUUACUGUGACUUUCGUUAGCUGCAGACAUAAUCUACCUGCUUUAUGAUAAAAUUUAAAAUUUCACUAAUAUGGUGUUUAAAGGCAGACUAUCUCAAAAUGAUUGGAUUUCAAUAAGAGGCAGAUCAUACCAGGCAUUAACUUUGUUGCAUGGCUAAACUUGGUGAUAUCUGACUUGGAUUAUGUUACAUUAAUGAAACAAGAAACAAUGUCUACAUACAUAAAAUGUUACCAUAUUAACAUUAUCUUUAGUUUUAUUAUGUGUACCUUAAUAAUUCUUUUUGAUAUACCUACUUAUAGCAACCAUAGGACCAAAGUUUACAAAUACAUCUAUUUUAAAAUAAUAAUUCUUCCAAGUAUAAGUUCAAGUAAUGUGUUUUUAUUUCCCUCUUAGCAUUAUAACUGGGACACAAUUACAUGAAGACACACUGCCAAUGACAGACUGAAAAAAUAAGUUCCUAACCUACAAACUUCAGAUAAGAUAAAGAAAUAGUUCCUUCUUUUGUAAUAUAUGUUAUGGUUACUGUAGUUCUGGUCACGUGUACACAAAUAAAUAAAUAAAUAAAUCUAAAAUUCCAGUACCUCAUAUAGUCAUAUGUAACAUAACAUGUAUCACAAAAUGCUUCUUUUCCUAUAGGAAACACAGAAACAAUUGCCAAAAUUUAAGUUAAAUUUAAUUUUAACUUCUCAAAAUCAUAAUUACUGUUACAAAUAUGAAGCGAUUUUUUUAUGGUAUUAUAAAAGUAAACUGUACACUGACCAGCUCAAUUCCCUUCGUUUUCUUUGUUUUGCAACACGAGCUUGUUGUUUUAUUACUAUGUCGUAUAUAUCGGUAUAUAGUGAACAUUUCUUUUCCAACAUGUAAAAAGAUAACAUUAUCUAUAUCCUUUGCCACGUUAAUGAAUGUUUAUUUAUAUCUCUGUGUAUUUUAGGCUUAAUGAGAACUACCGUAUUAACUUCUGCACCCCCAUUUAAGUAUAAUAGCAGUCUCAAAUUCACGUACGGAAAGUCCAUAAUAAUAAAAUAAUAAUACAUACAUACAUACACAAAUGGAAUCAGUAAUAAUAAAAUUAAUGUUUCAUUCACAAGUAACCGCCAACUACUAACAACACUCUCUACUUCCAACAUUAUAAUUCACACAUCCUAACCUCUUUAUCACAAUAUUUUAAAAAUCCGACAACAGGUGUCUCUCAAAACGUUUGAGCCAACGGGCGCAGUGCAUUGUGGGAGCUGAAGGAAAAAUUGCGUUGCUGGGAAAUAGAAGGUGGUACAGACUGCAACAGAUUUGUAUAUGUUUUCAUAUCAGUACAUAUACAAAAUACAGUUUUAUAAGUGUAAAUUUUAGUACCAUGUUAUUGGAGUAUAGAAAGAAUGCAUAUUACUAAAACAUUUCAUGCAGUGGAUUCAGUUCGUGAUGCCCUAAGAAACACCAUGGAAGCGACAGACUCACAAGAAAUUGAGAUACCAUGAAGAUGGAUGCAGCAAGUACCUGGGAAACAUUGCUACCUAUCUGCUAAACAGCAUGACACCACAUCUAAAGGACAGUAAUCUUCAUGCUUGCUGCUGUAGGACCUCAGAUCCCGCAGCUGCGGUAUCUGGCUUUGGAUGAUCUAGAAAGUUCUGUUAACUGGAAAUUGACUAAUUGUGAAUAUUAUUAUUGAAAGAAUGAAAUAUUGUUAUCUUGUUGGUUGGUUUGUUGUUAGGUACACCAUGUUAUGUUAAGUAGUGAUGAAAAUGGAAUAUAAAGUGUGGUACAGAAAACAGGAGGUCCUGUCAUGCGAGAAAUUAAAUUUGUAGGCCUGUCCAUGAGGUUGCUGGUUCACUAAGAUACACAUUAUGUAUAGGGUUCUGAUAUCUGGAAAGUUAAAAUAUCCAACAAUCUUUUGGUCUUAGAGGUGCCAGAUAUCACAUCCUUUAUUGUAUUUGAUUCCAUUUUUGUUCAGCUUGUAAAUAGUAUUACUAUUUAACCUUGAACAUCAUAUUUUCAUGCCUGUUUUAGCUGAUAUAAAUUUGAGUAGAACAGUAAAAUGCUUUAGCUUGUGGGCUAGAGUGCUGGACUGUUAUGCAAAUGGUCUUUUAGUCUAGUCCUGAUAGUACAAAUUUUGUUUACAUGAAGUUUAUUGGGCAUAACCUCAAAAUUUUGGACUAUUUUCAUAUCUGUAAUUGUUGAUCUGUGAACAGUGAUUCAUGGAAAAUUUCUAAGUACGUUUAUGAUUGUUCUUCAUACCAUAUUUCAAAUGCCUACCUAUGCCAAAUGGUACAUUUGCUAUCACUAUCUAACAAAAAGCUAAAUAUAGAUUUCAAGUAGCCAGAAUCUCAUUACUUUAAAAUUAAAAAAUACACCCAUAAAAGUUGCCUAUUUUUUUAACAUAUGCAUCAUUUCAGAGCUGUCCGUUCAGUGAUAUUGGUGUCCCUCCCACCUCACAAGUUUGUGCAUCCAUUAUGUUGUUAGUAGUGAUUAUAGGAAAUCAAAAGUACUAGAUUUCUGUGGCCCAUAAUCUCAUGAUAUUUCUAUAAAUUUCUGUGAAUUGCCAUAACGCCCUCAGAAUUUGUGUGGGGAGGGGGUCACACAGAGAGAAAGGCAUCAUGGUGAUUUCAUAAGUUUAAUUUAAAAUGCCAUUUAUAUCCAAAAAGACCUACAAGUGAUUCUUAUAAUUUGUUCUGCUAACAGUGGAAAUGAUAAUAAAGUAAAAGGAAAGUUAUCUCUGUCCUUAAUUA